AUCUCAAUUUUGUCUAAAUCACCUUUAUCGUUGCUUGCCACAACUCACAAUGGUGAAACUCUAUAAAUAUAGGUUGGUGAUACUUGAGAGAGAGCAACAAGGUAGCCAGCUUUCUUAAGCUCCCUGUGUGAUCUAUACAAUCGUGUGUAUUGACUCUUGAAUAGAAUGGCAUCAAUGAAGGCUGAGAAACCUGUUGGUACACAACUCUUUGGGCAGGCCAAGAAGGAGCCUGCCAAAGCUAGUCAGGGUGCUGCUGCCAAGGCUCCGGCCUCCAAGGCGGCCCCAAAGAAGGCAGAACAGAAGCCUCGAGAGCCCAAAAAGAAGGCAAAGGGUGGCAAGCCUGCAGCAAAGAACUAAGUAGAGGGAUGAAAUAAGGUGGUCUCCGGUGCCCGAUGGACAUGAGAGUUGAGGAGGAGAUCGGGGAAUUAAGGCUGCAUGUCCUUGUUAUUUUAAGGGAUUACUAAUUACUGUAACUGUUGGAUUGCUAUGUCUUUCCUUGUACUUUGCUUGUUAGGCUCAGCCUAAUGUAAUAAGAAAAAAAAAAACAAGCAAAACAAAACAAAAGAAACAUUUACUUAUAUAAGGCUCCCACUGUAGGCACAGAUGGAAAAUUGGCAUGACAAUAUUGAUAUUUACCACAUGAUUUGAUGAUGCA